UCUUUUAGUUUAAGUUGUUAAACUGUAUUUUCAUGUUUGAUAGUCAUUUGCUAAAUCUUGGGAAAACAUUGCAUGUAUAAUAAUAUGCUUGAAUCCCCUGUAGCAUUAAAAACAAGUCUAACCAGUGAUAGAUGAUUUAGUCAUUCGAAACACAUCUGUAUUUUAAAGAAACAUUAGUAUAAUCAGAAGAGGGAAUGGGUUAUUGAUUUGAAUUCCGUUUCAGAUAUUGUUUAAGAGGACAAUAUCAGAAACAAAAGAUAUACUUCUGUUUUUCUCAAAAUGGAGAGACUUUGGUUCACUUCUUUCAAAAAGAAAAAUAAGAGAUGUUGAGAAAUAAUUUUUCAUGACAUAAUAAUUCUAUUUUUUUCCAUUUAAUCAGACAAUUCUUUUUUCUUUUCUUUAGCUCCCUGAACCCUAACAGCAGAGGUAAAAAAUAAUUUACUCCUAGCUAACUAAUUUGAAAAGCUAAAUAUGUAAUCUUUUCAUGGCAUAAGUGACUUGAUUCUUUGCACUUUGCUAAUUUGGAAAAAAAUGCAUAAGGUUGCAAAAAAUUAAUGAAGAGCAUUUAAAGCAGAUUUCUUGAAGUUUUUCUUGUUACGUAUAUCUGUAGUAAAUUUAUCACAAAACAAACAUAGGCAAGUUUGUUUUCAGUUGGGUUGGGUUUAUAUUGCAUACGGGUAUAUAUAAUCUUUAUAUAUAAUAUUGUGGUGGAAAUGACACUGAGAUAAGGGUCAGAAGACAUGGAUUCUGGUUCUAUUUCAAGAACUUAGGAGACAGGAAAACUCCAGGUCGGUUCCCUAACAUCUCUCAUGUAUUAAAUGGUUAUGCUAAUAUUAAGAUGAAGUAUAUAAAAUCGGCUGCUUUUGACUAACAAAAAUGACAAUUUUGUAUGGCUAAAACUAAUACUGUUCUGUCUUAAAGUAGCUUUUUUUUUUUUUUUUUUUUUGCGGUACGCGGGCCUCUCACUGUUGUGGUCUCUCCCGUUGCGGAGCACAGGCUCCGGACGCGCAGGCUCGGCGGCCAUGGCUCACAGGCCCAGCCAAUCCGCGGCAUGUGGGAUCUUCCCAGACUGGGGCACGAACCCGUGUCCCCUGCAUCGGCAGGUGGACUCUCAACCACUGCGCCACCAGGGAAGCCCCUGUUCUGUCUUCUACAGUUACUAUACGAAGGAAAAAUUUUUUAAACAUUUUGGAAUACUACUAAAUGUAUGUAAAUAUGCUACAGCGAAAUGGAAGGGAAUGACCAUUGCAGGGACAGCUCCUUCAUUCCAUACUUAUUGAAAGGUGUCUACCUGCCCACCUGGUACGUCUACAAAGAAGUGGAAGACAGUUCCUGCUCUCAAGAUGCUUAUCGUGUUCCUGGGGCACCAACAUUCACACAUAUAAAAGUGACAUAAGCUGGAGCUGUUUUCUCAGAACAGGCAAAGGUACAAUCAAAUGACUACCAACACCCAGAAACAACGGGAAAAAACGUCUACCUGUAACACCUAGUGCAUCUACAAGUUCAGGAAAUGUGGGACAGCUUUGAGAAGUAGCCAAAGGCUCCCAUUUCUGGGUAUUUCACAGCAGCCAUAAUAUAAAGGAUGCUAAUAUUUAUUCAAAAGCCUCAAACUCAGGAAUUCUGCUAUGCGAUGGGCAUGUCACUUGCUUGUACAAUGAGGAGUACGUUUUGACACUUAACAAUAAUAAAUCUCAUAGAUUAACUGGUACCAGACUUAUAAGGACUCCAAACAACUGGUAAACUGGACAAAAUAUAUGAAAUAACUGUUUACAGAUGUUGGAAAACAGGUGGGGCAGAACUGUGAUCCCCUUGAAAAGAGAAACCAGUGAGGUAAGCUCUCCAAUCACCUUGGCUUUCAGCCUGAAGGCAUGUAGUGGACCAAAGAUGGAAAUAGUCAUAUCACUGAUAUGAGGAGACAGACCUUGGAAGGCAGGGAGAAUGAGGUGGCUAGAAUCUGUGAUGUAAAGCAGUAUAGAGGAGCAAGGCAAAAACAGAGCUCUCGGGAUCUGUUAGGGGUCUUCAUGAGUCUCUGGUUGGAAAUUGCACAGGGCAAAUCCAUAGGGCUCAACAAAGAAGAAACACUGGGGUGCUGCAAGCUGAACACCCGCCCAGAGUUCACAGAGGCCUGGAAGACAUUCAUGUUCGCACCUGCCGGAUUGGAGAGAAAGGAAUCCAACAUCAGGAAAGGAAGAGGUGAUACCACUGAGCAUCCUAAAUUCCUUAAAUAUAUAUAAGACAAUAUUAUAAAAACCAUUAAGCCAAUGAAGUUGACAACUUAGAUGAAGCAAAUAAGUUGUCUGAAAGACAGAAAUUACUAAAACUGACACUAGAAUAAAUAAAAAAUAUAAAUAGCGAUAUGUGUUAAACAAAUUGAAUUGAUAAUUUAAAAACAUUCUCAAAAUAAAAAUUCCAGGCUCAGGUAGCUUCCCUGGUGAAUUCUGUCAGUCAUUUAAGAAAAAGAUGAUACCAAUUGUACACAAACUCAGAUAUUAGAGGAGGAUAACAUAUUCCAACACAAUUUAUGAAGCCAUUAUUACAAUGACACCAAAACAAGACAAAGACACUGUAGGAAAAAAAUUUAUAGAUCAGUAUCCCUCAAGAGCAUAGAUGCAAAACUGAACAAAAUGCUAGCAAAUCAAAUCCAGCUGUUACAUGAAAUGUAUAUACAUACAUGAUGACCAAGUGGGUUUUGUUCCCAAAGUGCAAGGCUACUUGAAUAUUCACUAAUCAAUACCAAAUUACCAUACCACCAAAAUACAUGAGGUAAGUUUGUGUGUGUGUGUGUGUGUGUGUGUGUGUGUGUGUGAUAAUCAUAAAAGGUACAGAAAAGGCUAACAAAAUUCAACAUCCAUUUAUGAUACAGUCAGCAAACUAGGAAUAGAAGGGAAUUUCCUCAAACUGAGAAAGGGCACAUUUCAGAAAACCUACACGACUAGGUCCUGUUUCCAAGCACCCAGACUUCAAUGGACCCACUGACUUACCUUCCUAGAUCACCUCCUAUUGCCCAGAUUGGGCCCCAUUUUUGUGUGAGUAAUGACUUUAUUUGUUCUACUCAGACUUGCUGUCAAUGAACCUUAGUUAAGUAAAUCUAAAGCACUGAUUAUUUUUAAAGUUGCCUAUAUUAGUAGUUAUUACUCUCAUGUUAAUUUUUCAUAUUUUCCAACAAUCUGUAAUUUCUUUGAAUGCACAUUACACAACUCCUCUACCUCUAUCCCCAAACAUUUUAUUUACAGAGGCUACAUGUUUAAUAAAUGCUUUGUUGUUGAUGAUGAUGGUGUUGAUUUAAUUUCUUGCAACCAAUAGCAUCGUGUAAGUUAGGAU